GUCUUCGUGGCUCAGUUGGGAAGAGGUUUGACUAUGGUUCAGAAGGUCAGGGGUUCGACCCCAUCGGUGGCU